CCUACGGGUGGCAGCAGUGGGGAAUAUUGCACAAUGGGCGAAACCCUGAUGCAGCGACGCCGCGUGAGUGAAGAAGUAAUUCGUUAUGUAAAGCUCUAUCAGCAGGGAAGAAAAUGACGGUACCUGAGUAAGAAGCCCCGGCCAACGACGUGCCAGCAGCCGCGGUAAUACGGAGGGGGCACGCGUUAUCCGGAUUUACUGGGUGUAAAGGGGGCGUAGACGGUAGUGUAAGUCUGGAGUGAAAGGCGGGGGCUCAAACCCCGGACUGCUCGGGAAACUGGACGGCUGGAGUGCAAGAGAGGUAAGUGGAAUUCCUGGUGUAGCGGUGAAAUGCGUAGAUAUUAGGAAGAACACCAGUGGCGAAGGCGGCUUACUGG
rnacentral:rRNA from 1 species